rnacentral:lncRNA from 1 species
GGGGCGGGAGGUUGGGGGGGGGCAGGCACUCUGCUGGCCCUUGCAACUGCCUUGAUCACCUGUAACUAUCCAGGGUUUUCAGGCUGGCUUGGGGUAACACCGCCCGGCCCCAUCAAAGAAAUGCAGCGUGAACAGUCCCACACCUCUUGGCUCCUGUCUCUCAAGGAACAUGCAAGUGAAUCUAAUUAAUGACCUUCAGUAUCUUCUGUGCUUUUUUAUUAUCCCAUCCACAGUUCCUGGAGCCUUCCGGUCACUUACAAUUCAAACAAAAGAAACACCAAAAAGCUAGCUCGUGUGUCAUGGGCUCCUUUUCUCUGUCUCGGCACCAGAAGGUUCUAGAAACCGUUUGCAGACUCUCCUCAGGGACUCAGAAGGUCAGGGGGAGAGAAGGGUGGAGAGAAAUUGGGUUGCAUGUAUCGGUAGUGAGAGUGGAGAUCCUGAGGAAUAUAUCUGCUGCUUCUGCCGGUCUCUCUCCCUCAGUCAUCAAGUGCCGUCGCCGAGCACUUCUCAAACGGUCCCGUACGCACACGCACACACACAAACACACACGCCAGGAGAGUCUUGUUAACAAGCCCGUGGUCCUGCGUUUCCAGCAUGCUCACGGGACCCUAAUGCUGCUGAUCUGGAGACCUCGCUUUGAGCAGCGAGACUGCGGGUGGCGUCUGAACCUGACGGUCCGUGGGCUAUUGUUCCGUAUAGGAUGCCGGGACGGCUGGGUAGCCAUCCAGAAAAAGUAACGUCAGACUUACACUCCCAAUUCCUGUACUAGGACGGAUACGAAGAAGUGUGAUCUGUGCUCGAGGUGGAAAUGCAAAAUGAUGAACAAUUGAAAGGACAACGGGCAAAGAAUAGAGACACUCAGUAACUUGACCAAACUCACAAGAAGCCGGUGCGUGAACCGGAAUGAGAAACCAUUAAUUUGCAAUGGGAAAUACUCCUUUGCGAUGACAGAACACGCAUGUCUGCCAUCCAGGCACCUCGCUGCACAGAUCAAGAUGCCCGUGACGUUCCGUGAGGGAGCCCGGUGGGGCGCCUGGCUGGCUCCUUCAGAAGAGCAUGGGACUCUCGAUGAUCUCAGGGUCGUGAGUUCAGACCCCAUGUUGGGCAUGGAGCCUACUUUAAAUAAAUAAAUAAAUAAAUAAAUAAAUAAAUAAAUA